UUGAAAGUUAUGACGGAAAAAUUUUCCGAAACUCCUCUCCCCAUCCCUCAGAAAAUUCCUCUAUAUACUCUGAAUCCACAGCAUCCAAGAGGUAUUUGUUGAACAUUUCGUUGAAAAGUAUCCAUUUUCCUGGAAGUUGCAAGGCAACAAAGUCGGGUGGGGGUACACAUCUGUAGUUAUACCACAACCGGUAUAUCAGCUAAGCAAAUGGUCUUUUCUAAAUGCAUGAAAAAGCUAUAACACAUUCAGAACAUUAUUUCAGAAAAUUCAGCACCAAGUGCCUCAGUUGGUGGCAUACCACAAGGUUCAGUGGAACCUACUGAAGCAAGCCGACACCCCGGCAACAUUACUACGGGUGGAUGGCGAGGGUAGGACGCCAAGAACAGCUAAGCACGCUCACGAGUCUCCCCUGAUACCUCGAUAAGGUGAGCCGCCAACGAUGACAAGAACUUCGUUGUUAGUGGCCCAGCCCCUCCAAACGCCUCAAACGUCAAAUAUUGCAAAUGAUUCACUGACAAGGCCCGAUACUUUAAGGAUUUUGUUCCGUUCGGCUACGGAAGCAGUGACCCUCCCAUUGGACGAGGAAGUGAAACAAACUGGCCACUGCCGGGUGAUAGGUUCAUGGUGCACCUCAGAGAUAGAUGACAUGGGACCCUAAUAUUUGCCCUCUUGACUCGUCAUGAAAUGUGGAAGCAAUUAUUUAUGAAGCAGAGAUCACAUCUGUAGGAACCAACCUACUAGAAACACAUAGAUAUUACAAAGACAUGGGAGAAGAAAACUCUAAACAUAAUUUUAUA